rnacentral:rRNA from 1 species
UAUGAACUCUGGCGGCGUGCCUAAUACAUGCAAGUCGAGCGAACAGAUGAGGAGCUUGCUCCUCUGACGUUAGCGGCGGACGGGUGAGUAACACGUGGAUAACCUACCUAUAAGACUGGGAUAACUUCGGGAAACCGGAGCUAAUACCGGAUAAUAUAUUGAACCGCAUGGUUCAAUAGUGAAAGACGGUUUUGCUGUCACUUAUAGAUGGAUCCGCGCCGCAUUAGCUAGUUGGUAAGGUAACGGCUUACCAAGGCAACGAUGCGUAGCCGACCUGAGAGGGUGAUCGGCCACACUGGAACUGAGACACGGUCCAGACUCCUACGGGAGGCAGCAGUAGGGAAUCUUCCGCAAUGGGCGAAAGCCUGACGGAGCAACGCCGCGUGAGUGAUGAAGGUCUUCGGAUCGUAAAACUCUGUUAUUAGGGAAGAACAAAUGUGUAAGUAACUAUGCACGUCUUGACGGUACCUAAUCAGAAAGCCACGGCUAACUACGUG